AGGACGAACGCUGGCGGCGUGCUUAACACAUGCAAGUCGAGCGGUAAGGCCUUUCGGGGUACACGAGCGGCGAACGGGUGAGUAACACGUGGGUGAUCUGCCCUGCACUUCGGGAUAAGCCUGGGAAACUGGGUCUAAUACCGGAUAUGACCUCCUAUCGCAUGGUGGGUGGUGGAAAGAUUUAUCGGUGCAGGAUGGGCCCGCGGCCUAUCAGCUUGUUGGUGGGGUAAUGGCCUACCAAGGCGACGACGGGUAGCCGACCUGAGAGGGUGACCGGCCACACUGGGACUGAGACACGGGCCCAGGACUCCUACGGGAGGCAGCAGUGGGGAAUAUUGCACAAUGGGCGAAAAG
rnacentral:rRNA from 1 species